UGCUGCUUUGCAUGUGCUCUUGGGGGCCCAGCUGGCUGCUCAUCUCUAUUAAACCAAGAGGUUUGCUGCAGGUGGGGCCUGAGGGUCAGACGGGUGCACAGCAGCAGGAUGGUGCCCCAGCUCCAGCUCCUCAUCUUCCUGGCCUUCUGGGCCUCAGGCAUCUCUGGGGACAUCGUGAUGACCCAGUCUCCAGGCUCCCUGGCUGUGUCUGUAGGAGAGAGGGUCACCAUCAACUGCAAGUCCAGCCAGAGUCUUCUGUAUAGCUCCAACCAGAAGAACUACUUAGCCUGGUACCAGCAGAAGCCUGGGCAGGCUCCUAAACUGCUCAUUUACUGGGCAUCCACCCGGGAAUCUGGGGUCCCCGACCGGUUCAGUGGCAGUGGGUCCAGGACAGAUUUCACUCUCACCAUCAGCAGCGCCCAGGCUGAGGAUGUGGCAGCUUAUUACUGCCAGCAGCAUUAUAGCUAUCCUCCCACAGUGCUUCAGCCUCAAACACAAACCUCAACCCCAGGGCGUCCCCAGGGCCACAGGCCAGUGCAUCUCUGCUACACCAGCUGCUCCCUUUCUGCACAGCCCUGUGUCCCCACAGCUGAAUGA